AUGUGUCCUCUCAGACUCAUUCUCGUAUUCUUGUCUGCUACUCUUGCUGCUUUUUUCGUCCUCGGAAACCUUAGAUCUCAACCUCAACCUCAACCUCAACCUCAACUCACUGAGCUGGACAAAGAAAAAGACAAUGAAGAUGUCUCAGAAACAGAAACCUCGAAUUCUGCUAAACCAAUCUUAAUUGCACCUUCUAAAUCUAAGGUUAAGGUUGCUUUGGAAUCUGGGUUUUGGAUGUUUGUUGACAUGGCUUCUGGUCGUUAUCUUUGGAGGCAGCUGGUUCAGUCCUCUUCAAAGUAA